UACGUAGGGUGCAAGCGUUAAUCGGAAUUACUGGGCGUAAAGCGUGCGCAGGCGGUUUUGUAAGUCUGAUGUGUAAUCCCCGGGCUCAACCUGGGAAUUGCAUUGGAGACUGCAAGGCUAGAAUCUGGCAGAGGGGGGUAGAAUUCCACGUGUAGCAGUGAAAUGCGUAGAGAUGUGGAGGAACACCGAUGGCGAAGGCAGCCCCCUGGGUCAAGAUUGACGCUCAUGCACGAAAGCGUGGGGAGCAAACAGG
rnacentral:rRNA from 1 species